rnacentral:rRNA from 1 species
CCCGAGCAAAAAGACUUUUAGUUCGUUACCCCGAAACUAAGCGAGCUACUCCAAGACAGCCUAGAGUAGGGCGAACCCGUCCCUGUGGCAAAAGGGUGGGAAGAGCUUCGAGUAGAGGUGACAGACCUACCGAGCUUAGUUAUAGCUGGUUGCCUGGGAAUUGGAUACAAGUUCAGCCUCUCGGCUUCUCACGUCAAAUUCGUUCGACUCACCUUCCCUCCCCCCUGGACACAACAGAAACCAAGAGAGUUAUUCAAAGGGGGCACAGCCCCUUUGAAACAAGAUACAACUUUACCAGCAGGGUAAAGAUCAUAUUAAACCAAAGGUAAAAUGUUCUAGUGGGCCCAAAAGCAGCCACCCUAAUAGAAAGCGUUAAAGCUCAGACAUACCUUAUAACCUUUUAUUCCGAUAAUCACAUCUUAACCCCCUAGUUUUACCAGGCCGCCCCAUGCCCCCAUGGGAGUGACCAUGCUAGAAUGAGUAAUAAGAGAGCCCAGACUCUCUCCUCGCACAAGUGUAACUCGGAAUGGACCAACCCCCGAACCUUAACGGCCCCAAACAAAGAGGGUAAUGAGCACCUAAACUAAACAACCAGAAGAUCACUCAAAACAACAACCGUUAACCCCACACCGGCGUGCUUACAAGGACAGACUAAAAGAGAGAGAAGGAACUCGGCAAACACAUUGGCCUCGCCUGUUUACCAAAAACAUCGCCUCUUGCAAAAUCAAAAAAUAAGAGGUCCCGCCUGCCCUGUGACUAUAUGUUUAACGGCCGCGGUAUUUUGACCGUGCGAAGGUAGCGUAAUCACUUGUCUUUUAAAUGGAGACCCGUAUGAAUGGCAUGACGAGGGCUUAACUGUCUCCUUUCUCUAGUCAAUGAAAUUGAUCUCCCCGUGCAGAAGCGGGGAUAACACCAUAAGACGAGAAGACCCUAUGGAGCUUUAGACACAAAGCAGAUCAUGUUAAGCACUUCUAAACAAAGAACUAAACCCCGUGAGCCCUGCCCUAAUGUCUUUGGUUGGGGCGACCACGAGGAAAAAGAACCCGCGUGCGGACUGGGGGCACUCCCCUAUCACCAAGAGCACCCGCUCUAACGAUCAGAACUUCUGACCAAACAGAUCCGGCAUAGCCGAUCAACGGACCGAGUUACCCUAGGGAUAACAGCGCAAUCCCCUCUUAGAGCCCAUAUCGACGAGGGGGUUUACGACCUCGAUGUUGGAUCAGGACAUCCUAAUGGUGCAGCCGCUAUAA